CUUGCAUGAUCGACGAAAAUCACGAGCGCAGCGACAGGCCGCCGGGCGUUGCGGUUCCGCCAGCUCGUCCUCGUCGUCCACAUCUCCAGUCUCCACUCCUCUCCCCACGACAGCGCAGAUCCCCACCCAUUAAUCAAACAGGCGCACGCUUCGCCCCGAAAUCAACCCUCCAAUCAGCAGGAUUUAUUGAAGGACUGGGCUUUGUGAGGAAAGAUGGAUUCCAAAAAGAAGAGGAACAAGAAGAAGAAAGGAAACCAAGGGAAGAACGCCGCUGAUGUGACGUCCAACGUUGGAGAAGCUGCUCCCCAGGGACACAAUCAUGAGUCAGCCCCAAAAGACCAUUAUAAAGGUUCUGAUGCAGAUGAUGCCAUGUCCAGUGUUGGAGAGGGAGUUCCUCAGUACCAGAAUCACGAGGCGACUCUGCAGUCAGAUCAUAAUGGCACAAAUGCCUAUGAUACUACAUCCUCUAUUGGAGAGGGGAUUCCAUGCUACCAGGACACUGAACCUACGCAAACACAAGAGAAUCACAAAGCCAGAGAUGCAGUCCCUGCAGAUCAGAGGAGCAUUGGGAUGUCAGAGUCUAGUGUGGAGCUUGACAUGCACAGACUUUAUGAAGCCAAACUCGAUAAACUACAUGUGAAAAUAAAGCAGUUGGAGGAUGAAAAGAGUUUAUGGCUUCAAAAAGGGAGCACCAUGGAGAGUGAGCUUGAAAAGUUGCAUAGCAAAGUGGGUUUUCAUGCGCAAAAUGAGGCACUUUUGGAGGAAAAAUUGAAUAUUCUACAGAUUGGUUACGAUAAGCUGAUUAAGAAGGAGGUAUUUAAUGUUUCCUCGGCUGAUUUCUUUAUUUGUGUCGGGGUAUGAUUCAGGGGUAGAAUAGUGUUAAGGGUAUAAUAGUCAAGGGUAGUUUAGUCUUUUCCUAUUCUAGGGUUUGGGUGCUCUCAUGUACUAUAUUAUCCCCUUUGGGACUAUCCAAUACAUACACACAGUCAAUUCUCUUCUCGUCUCAAUUCCUAACAAAUAGCAACCUGGGGAGCUAGGACCAUGUCCUUGGUACAGGUUUAAGAUGCCUAUAGGCUAUAAAAGUACACAAUAUGCCCUGGGAAAGAGUGAAAUACAGUGCAGCACCUUUUGUUUUCCUGAUGAUCUUGAAACCCCAAAUUGAGGAGAUAACUUUUAGUUUUAAUAAUCUAGGGCUAUCAACCCAGAUAGCGUAUUUUCUUCUUCUUAAUACAGACUUACAAAGAUGCACAGCCCUCCUGCAUACUAAUUAGGCUUCAAUUGUUUAAUGUUGCCAAAACACCACCGUGUUUCUCUUUCCUUUACAUGAUUUUGUUGAAAGUCUUGUUUGGUGAUUCCAUGGAGGAAGUUUUGGGUAAUAAAGUCAGGUGCAUAGAUAACAUCAAUGGCACCUUAACUCAUCAAGAGGUAACACUCAUUUGAAGGCUUUUUCUUUCUUUCAAUUGGCUGAUGUGUAACUGAUUUUCUUAGGCUUUGCUUAAAGAAAGAUUAAAUGAGCUGGAGGAAACAAAGAAAACUCUGGUGGCACAGUCUGGCAGGUGAAGGUGCUGGAGGAAGCUUCAAGCAAUACUUCUGCGGGAAAUCACAUGCUGGUAAAAAAAUUGGAUGAACUGGAUUCAAGACUACAAGCACUCGAAGCUAGGGCUGCUCUUAGUGAAGCCUUGGAAAAAGUAAAGGGUAAUGAACUGAUUGCUGAGAGAGGUCUGAGCAGUUCAGUGGAACUUAUUACUGAUAAUAGCUAUCGUCAAAUCAACAAUACUCCCAGCAAUGCAUAUGCUAGUAAUCAUCCGCAGGAAACAUCAAUACAGCUUCCAGAAACAGGAACCAGCAAUAGUAUUGCCCAAGCUCACGUUGAUGUUAAUGAGCAUCGAUUUGAUGGACCAACAAGUGAAGAAAUUGUGUCAGUUCCAUUGGAUGAUAUACAGAUUCAUGAGGAUGACCCACGGCAACCAGGAGCAGAAGAUGAGAUAGAUGAGGUUCCAUUUUCUGAUGCCCCAAUCACUGGUGCUCCAUUCCGAUUGAUCUCAUUUGUUGCUAGGUAUGUCAGUGGUGCUGACUUGGUGACCAAGAAAUAACUGUCUGCGUAUCAAGAAGACCGGGAUGCCAGGAUGAGUCUCUUUUUGAUGAUGCUGGUUAAUUUUUGAGUAUGUUAAGAUAGGAAUGGGUGGAUUGGAUUCAGCAGAGAUAUGAAAGCUCUGUUCAUUCUUGGUAGUGCUCAUGAGUCAUGUCACUGCCAUUCUUCUCUGUUCCCCUGUGCUUUUUUUCUGGCGCAGGAGGAAUUCGUGUUCCUUGAUUUGUACAAGAGGCUACCAUGGCCCUUCCAGACUGGUCUAACCAUGUGAAAUUGAAAGUUGUAUUGGCUAGAGAUAACGUUAACAGCUGAAAUUUUGGUAUACUGCAUACACCAGGAUGUAAUAGAUCCAUUGACAAUGUAACCUGUGGAAGAUAGCUAAAUGCUUUGAUUAUUGCA